GCAACAGACUUGGCUUGCCCCUAUGCAUCUAGGGGACCAAGAAGGUCAGGUUUCUCCAGUUCCUACAUGCAUAGAUGAUUCAUCAAUGCUGCUGCGUUCCAUUAUGCUUUCAGUUACUGGAAGUGACAUGAUUCUGCAGCUUAAACUAUCUGAUUUACUAUUAGUUUGGGCUGGUCUGAUUGCUGACUGGCAUGCCUGGGAAGAAUCUGAAGAUCUAUCAGUCUUUGAGUGCAUUAAUGAAGUUGUUAACCUAC
rnacentral:misc_RNA from 1 species